AGUGAACGCUGGCGGUAGGCCUAACACAUGCAAGUCGAACGGCAGCACAGUAAGAGCUUGCUCUUACGGGUGGCGAGUGGCGGACGGGUGAGGAAUACAUCGGAAUCUACUUUUUCGUGGGGGAUAACGUAGGGAAACUUACGCUAAUACCGCAUACGACCUACGGGUGAAAGCAGGGGAUCUUCGGACCUUGCGCGAUUGAAUGAGCCGAUGUCGGAUUAGCUAGUUGGCGGGGUAAAGGCCCACCAAGGCGAAGAUCCGUAGCUGGUCUGAGAGGAUGAUCAGCCACACUGGAACUGAGACACGGUCCAGACUCCUACGGGAGGCAGCAGUGGGGAAUAUUGGACAAUGGGCGCAGGCCUGAUCCAGCCAUACCGCGUGGGUGAAGAAGGCCUUCGGGUUGUAAAGCCCUUUUGUUGGGAAAGAAAAGCAGCAGGUUAAUACCCCGCUGUUCUGACGGUACCCAAAGAAUAAGCACCGGCUAACUUCGUG
rnacentral:rRNA from 1 species